AAGACGGUAUUUCUUGGCCACUGCAAGGUGAUACCUUAUCACACCCAUCCGGGUGUGAUAACCAAUCUUUUGGGUGAUUCAACCGAACCAGACUGGCGCACUCACCAGUUCGAAUGAAAAGGCCAAGCAGCAGGGCCAAAAGGGCGGCGGUUUCCAUAAUUGAACUGGACACGGCCAUUUCUCGAGCCAACAGCACUCACACAGGAUUCACAAGACUCACAGGUUGACCAAUUGCGGCCAUUCCUCGGAAUUCAUUUAUACUUCGGCUUCUGUAAAAGGGAGGAGUAUCCAAAAGGGAUUAAAAUUAACAAGCGAAUUGAAGGCUCUUAAAAACUUUUUCGAUUUUCCGCUGAAAUCUCCAGCUCAGCCCUCGAGAGCUAAUAAAAAAGUUGAAAUGAAACGAGGAGUAUAAACGCAGGCAAUGGUCAUAAAAAUUAUUAUCCACAAUCCGCAGAAAUGCAAUUUUUUGUUCGAGGAAAGGACAGGAAGACAAGAAAAAUUAAAGGCCAUCCAUUCAGGCGAAUCUGUCAUCGUGACAGAUAAAUAUUAUCAUGGCCUGGCUCGUGGCUCUGGUCAGACCAAACAGAUAUAGUCAUCUAUCAGCCGACGCUUGGGGUUCAGAGGUCAUGUCUGUGGAUCAAUAUUUAUUGCAAAUUAUGCCCCGACCACACACUUUUCGUGUGGGCCACGGGGCGUAUGUGCAACACUCUGGGUAGCCGCAAGUGCUGUGCAUUAAUUAUGCGAUUUUGAGUGUUCAGGAAUGUGUGUGCGUCUGUGGGUGUUUGAUUUGCGGUCGAACCAGUCGAACUCCUGUCGCUCAGAUGUACUCGGCUAAUGUAAUUAAGCUUCUGAUUAAAAUGCCUGGAAUUACCUACCAGAGAAAAGCACAUUGCAAGAGGGCACAAUAAGAUAUUGGAUCCCAACAAAAAACACCGUCACUUCCACAUCCCAGAGCCAGUGCAAUUUUUCUGCUGACGGCCAACUUCACGCACGUCCUGUCUAUAAAGUGCAGUGCUCACUAAGCCAAUUUCAGGGUGUUUAUAAUUGAAAGUCGCCACCAGCGAUAAAGGACUAAGAUAAAGAGAAAUUGCUUUCUGAAUAAAAUGAUUGUACCAGAACGGCUUGAAGAAAUGCACUUGAGGAAAAAUAAAUAUGUAUUUUUAACAUGGAAAAAAACCGAGAGUAGAUGGAACAAAACCAAACCCGAAUAUUUAAAGCACGCGCGUCUGACCAACCCAGGCUGACCGUAAAAACUUUCUGCUAAAGGCAAAGCAAAACAAAACUGUGGCAAAAACAUAAAACACAGCAAGAGGCAUAAACAAACAGAGCGCAAAAGCAUAAAGCAUGAAGCAUACAAGAGGCAACAACGAAAUUUUCAACUUUUGUAAUCGAGACCCUAGAUGAUGACAGGACGAAGGCUUGCGAAGCUGCUGCACCAGUUUUGAAAAAAUAAACAAAAAUAUAAAUAUUUUACUUGUAGUUUCUCAGAGCAAACACCAACAAACUACGGCAAGCUUCAGCAAACUAGCCAAACAACAAGCAACAGCUGCCAAAUGGGAAAUAAUCAAGCCCGGAGCAGGGACCCUAAAAUAUCCUGUGAAAUUGCUUCGCAGACACUUUCCCCACCCUCGUAUUUUUUAGUUUGGAUGCAGACUUUUGUAUUCAUCGCACACCCAGUAGUCUGGCAUCAUUAUUCAUUUUCGGUUGAGGAAAAUUAAUGAGCUGGCCAAGCUUUCUCUCAUUUUGAAGUGCUCAGACGGAAUGAACUCGUAAGUUGACCUUACAUUAAGCUCAACUAACUGGGAACUGGGAUUAGUUUCCCGGCAACAAAGGGGAUAAUUGAAUGAAAUGCAAACAUGGUUAUAACCAUAACAGGAUUUCGAGGAAACGAAUGGGUCAAGCCUGGCACUUGUUGUCAUUGAUUGGGUGCAAAUCGAUACCAUGUCAUGGAAACUGGGUCACGAUGAGCAAACGAACAGAAAACUCAGACAGCAAAGGAAAAGUUGAUGCCUCUUUUCCCCCAUUCAGUUGCGGCUGUUACGAGCUCAGGCCAUCAACCCACACAGAAGCCAACGACCAAUUUAUGUGCCGUGGUUAUUACUAUAUACACACUAUAGGAACCGUCUGGUCCAACUCCCAUUGUUGUCGCGGACACGCCCGAUUUCGCGGGCAAUAAACGCCUCACAUUAAAAGUGGGGUCAAAAAAAGACCUACAACAUUUUUUAGUAAACAAAAAGGUGUUGUUUUUACAAAAGAGUAAUUUUCUAAUUUUAACCCAUGUCUAAUGGAAAUGAUCAAAUGCUUUCUGAGUGCUUAGGAAUCAAUAGUCAAGUUAUUCCUUUAACACAGUUCCAUACGUCUUGCCUUGGCGCUAGACCCUUCAUGUGGAGCAUGUCAAUUGCAUCGUUAAUAAUGACAGUGCGGCAGAUGGUCAAUGCCCAUUCCGCAGCCGGAUGUCUGCCCAUAUAUUACGGAACGUGUCCAAGGAAUCUAGGUCCUACACAAGUGGAGCUGUUGAAAAGAUGUUGCAAGAAGCUCAGUUUCUUUCCACACCUUUGCUGGAUCGCCCUGCCAAAUAAUGACGUCACGAAAUGUACUCCCGUUUGGGUGGAGUGUUAACUUAAGCUUGACAUUUUCCGCGUGCCCUACCAUCAAAAGCCAUUUCACGACCGACAGAUGUCUGCCAACAGGGAAUCUGAGGGCGAGCUAAAGUGUGAAACUGUGCACAUGGUCAUUUGGCAUGGGUAUGUCAGCAAUAUGGAAGAUAUGCGAGACAACUGGAGCAUGAAUAUUGCACAGCUGGAAUUGGAGGAAAUAUUUUUAAAAGCAUUAUUCAAAUAUUACUCAAAGCGAUCUGCAAAACAGUUAUUAUAUUGUUCGUCAGUCAUCACAAGCAAUAUUUUAAAACUAUUUCCUUUUGUUAAAUUAUAACAUAUAUUAAAUUUACUUUUGAAAUUUCUUGGCGCUUACAGUAAGGCGGCGAAUUUUUUCACCAAUUUUGAAUUCUGCCAUCUGGAAUGGAGCCAAUGAAAUUUUCGUUCAACAAAUCCGGAAAAAUUUUGAAUGGGAUGUGUGGUAUCCUUU